ensembl:snoRNA small nucleolar RNA, C/D box 23
UGCCCCGUGAUGAUACCCAUCCUUGCUCCCCGUGCCCCCAGGGGCUGUGGGUGACAUCAUGGCUGCCCCCGGGUUGAGCCGGUUGGGCUGAUGCCUGGGGGCUGAGGGCA